UACGUAGGGUGCAAGCGUUGUCCGGAAUUAUUGGGCGUAAAGAGCGUGUAGGCGGCCCGACCAGUCCGCUGUGAAAGUCCAGGGCUCAACCCUGGAAUGCCGGUGGAUACUGUCGGGCUAGAGUCCGGAAUGGGCGAGUGGAAUUCCUGGUGUAGCGGUGAAAUGCGCAGAUAUCAGGAGGAACACCAGUGGCGAAGGCAGCUCGCUGGGACGUGACUGACGCUGAGACGCGAAAGCGUGGGGAGCAAACAGG
rnacentral:rRNA from 1 species